CGUACCAGCACCACUACGGUUAGCAGUACCAGUACGUCUUCUACAACUACGACAAAUACUACUACUAAAGGUCAAACAACAAGCUAUACAGGAGUUCUGAUGUCUCUGACUGAAGAAUUGAAAAAAACGCAGAAUGUUCCAAAUGUGCUACUCAAGCUCAGUAACAUAACUCAGCCCACAUCAACUAAUCUGUCCAGUUCUAAAGAUUUGAUCAAUACAAUGGAUCUUCUGAGCGAUGUAUUAAAUGCUUCAAUUGCAGGAAAUAUAUCAUUCAGUAA